rnacentral:rRNA from 1 species
AUUGAACGCUGGCGGCAGGCCUAACACAUGCAAGUCGAACGAGUGGCGGACGGGUGAGUAAUGUCUGGGAAACUGCCCGAUGGAGGGGGAUAACUACUGGAAACGGUAGCUAAUACCGCAUACCAUCGGAUGUGCCCAGAUGGGAUUAGCUAGUAGGUGGGGUAACGGCUCACCUAGGCGACGAUCCCUAGCUGGUCUGAGAGGAUGACCAGGCAAACUGGAAAUGAGGAAAGGUGCAGACGGCUACGGGGGGGAGGAGGGGGGAAGAUUGGACAAUGGGGGCGAGGCUGGAGCCGCCAUGGCGGGGGGAAGAAGGAGGCCUUCGGGGUGUAAAGGAAGUUUAGGGAGGAGGCGUUUCUCGCAAAAGGAGGACCGGCUAAAUCCGUGCCAGCAGCCGCGGUAAUA